GGAGGGUGCAAGCGUUAAUCGGAAUUACUGGGCGUAAAGCGCACGCAGGCGGUUUGUUAAGUCAGAUGUGAAAUCCCCGGGCUCAACCUGGGAACUGCAUCUGAUACUGGCAAGCUUGAGUCUCGUAGAGGGGGGUAGAAUUCCAGGUGUAGCGGUGAAAUGCGUAGAGAUCUGGAGGAAUACCGGUGGCGAAGGCGACCUACUGGGCACCAACUGACGCUGAGGCUCGAAAGCAUGGGUAGCAAACAGGAUUAGAUACCCUGGUAGUCCAUGCCGUAAACGAUGAUUACUAGGUGUUGGGGUUUAUUAACCUUGGUAACGAAGCUAACGCGUGAAGUAGACCGCCUGGGGAGU
rnacentral:rRNA from 1 species